CUCCGAGAAUUUGAAUCCGGAUUUUUCGUUACUCCGUCAUUCUAACAUAGCUUUAUAAGUCAAAGAAUCGUUCACUGAAUUAUGGAAAAGUCAACACAAAGAGUUUUCAGUUGGUAAUACUUGUGUAAGGAUUUUAUUAGUAAAUCGCCGAAGACUGAAGUUAUAAAGACUGUGACGCUAUUCCAAACUUCAGUUACUAUAAAUCAACCAUCGCCAAAAUACUUGAACUCUAGGCACAGUUAACAAGAUUAAAAAAACCGUUCAAUAUGAAGACCACUGUAGCAAUACUGUCCCUAUUCUGCCUGAUUUCGCUUUGCGAGUGUUACACCUCUCUACGUCCAGGGAACUGUAAUCUAUGCUAUAAAAGAUGCAAAGCGAGGGCUGCUGAUGGUUGCUUCUAUAGAUGUAGUAAUCGAGCCUCUCAUGAGAUGAUAUCUUUGUGUUUGGAAAUGUGUUAUAUGUCAGCCCUGGAUUACUGCAUGAAAACGAUCGUGUGCCGAGUAUAAAGCGUUUUCAUUCACGUGACAAGGCAUCCAUAUUUGUUUACCAGACAAUAGAAACUUUCUGCACAAUUUUUGCAUAAAAAUAGAGUUCAAUUCCACGAGGAUAGAAAAUUGUUUUGGUACACCAUUAUGGCUGCUGUGACGUCACGUGAAGACGCUUUAUACAUGUUUACUAUUGUGACGUAUUUCCAGUUAACCGGGGUCAAGGAUAUCAAUGAAGAAAUCUUUCGUUGACGACAGAAGACAUAUUUUGUCAGUUACGUUGUCGGGAUACUUGUCCCUUCAGUGCCAAUUUGUCGAGCUGCGACGUGCAAGAUGAAUCAAUCGAAAAUUGUUUUCCCUGAAGGAAAAUAUUAUAAACGUUUUCACCGAGCGUCAUCCCGCUUUUAUACCGGAAAUGACGUUUAACUUUGGUUGGCCUGUCUUAGUUAAAGGGAACCGGAUAUACGUCACAUGAUAUAAAUAAUGAUUUGUAUAUAUAUGAAUGAAGUGCAUAUGUAUUCUUAGAACGACUGAAGAAUAUGGUUUUGAAUUCAUUAGCACUGGGCUUCCAGUUAAUCAUUAUAGAUAGAAUUUGUGGUUUUGAAGUAGAUUACUGUAAUUUGUAUUGAAAAAAAAGUAUUAAAAAAGUUCCA
rnacentral:lncRNA from 1 species